rnacentral:rRNA from 1 species
AACGGCCGCGGUAUCCUAACCGUGCGAAGGUAGCGUAAUCACUUGUUCUUUAAAUGAGGACUAGUAUGAAUGGCACCACGAGGGUUAAACUGUCUCCUUUUUUUAAUCAGUGAAACUAAUCUCCCCGUGAAGAAGCGGGGAUUCUUUUAUAAGACGAGAAGACCCUAUGGAGCUUUAAACAAGUUAACACCUGCUACUAAUCNNUUCACUUUCCUGAACCACCACAUUAAGUAUAGCACCUCUGAUUAACAGUUUUCGAUUGGGGUGAUCAUGGAGCAAAAAUUAACCUCCACGACGAAAAGGAACACCUCCUUGAGCCAAAAGCUACAACUUUAAGCACUAAAAAACUAACGCACUUUGACCCAAUUCUUUGAGCAACGAACCAAGUUACCCUAGGGAUAACAGCGCAAUCCACUUUAAGAGCUCCUAUCGACAAGUGGGUUUACGACCUCGAUGUUGGAUCAGGGUAUCCCAGUGGUGCAGCCGCUACUAAAGGUUCGUUUGUUCAACGAUUAAAACCCUACGUGAUCUGAGUUCAGACCGGAGUAAUCCAGGUCAGUUUCUAUCUAUAAAGGGCUUUUUCUAGUACGAAAGGACCGAAAAAGCAUGGCCUAUAACCCAUCAAGCCAUAUAAAUUACUAUUGUUCCCAACUUAAAUAGAAGUAAACCUACCACUUAUCUCAAUAAAAGAGAAGUUAACGUAGCAUAACCUGGCCUUGCAG